GAUGAACGCUGGCGGCGUGCCUAAUACAUGCAAGUCGAGCGAACAGACGAGGAGCUUGCUCCUCUGACGUUAGCGGUGGACGGGUGAGUAACACGUGGAUAACCUACCUAUAAGACUGGGAUAACUUCGGGAAACCGGAGCUAAUACCGGAUAACAUGUUGAACCGCAUGGUUCAACAGUGAAAGACGGUCUUGCUGUCACUUAUAGAUGGAUCCGCGCCGCAUUAGCUAGUUGGUAAGGUAACGGCUUACCAAGGCAACGAUGCGUAGCCGACCUGAGAGGGGGGUGCGCCCAACCUGCAACGGAGCCGGGGCCCACACACCUGCGGGGGGCGCGAGUGGGGAAUCUCGCAAAAUGGACGAAGACCGGAGGGAGCAGCGCGGGGGGGGAGAGGAGGGUCUUGGGAUCUAAAAACUGUUUAAUGGGGAAAAAAAAAAUGUGAAAGUAACAGUGCGCGUUUUGAGGGUACCUAAUAAAAAAGCCACGGCUAACUACGUG
rnacentral:rRNA from 1 species